UCCUCUUCUUGUGAUGAUGAUGAUGUCGU
rnacentral:piRNA from 1 species